rnacentral:rRNA from 1 species
UGCCAGCAGCCGCGGUAAUACGGAGGGUCCAAGCGUUAUCCGGAAUUAUUGGGUUUAAAGGGUCCGCAGGCGGGACAAUAAGUCAGUGGUGAAAUCUCUCGGCUCAACCGAGAAACUGCCAUUGAAACUAUUGUUCUUGAAUCUACUCGAAGUGGGCGGAAUGUGUCAUGUAGCGGUGAAAUGCUUAGAUAUGACACAGAACACCGAUUGCGAAGGCAGCUCACUAGCGUAGCAUUGACGCUCAGGGACGAAAGCGUGGGGAGCGAACAGGAUUAGAUA